AUAUAUAUAUAUAUAUAUAUAUAUAUAUAUAGAGAGAGAGAGAGAGAGAGAGAGAGAGAGAGAGAGAGAGAGAGAGAGAGAGAGAGAGAGAGAGAGAGAGAGAGAGAUGGGGAAAAGUCCGAAGUAUUUGGUUUCAUAUUUGAGUUUUCAAUGUUCUGGUCUCGUCCUUAUUUACUCCAUUUAUUCAUCACCCAAUACUACUCCUUUCUGGCAUUUUCCUCCUGCUUCUUCUGCUCUUUUCUCUCUCAUAGGAACUCCUCAGAGCCAGGGAAAUACGUUAAAACAAAGACAAAAACAAAUCUAUUUUUUUUUGUUCCUUUUUUUUUCUCUUUUGUUCGCUUUUAUGGCAUCACUUCCAACAGAUGUGUAAGUGGGUCUUCUUCUCCUGUCCUCUCUUUCCCCUCUUCUUCGUUGGACAGCUGUGUUGUGAUGGUCUGUUGGAGGUGAAGCAAGGAGGCUGAUAAAGGGACGAACGAAGGAG